CUUUGCUUUUUUAUAGACUGGAUUUAUAUAUUUAUAAUUAAAAUUAGGUUAAAUUUUUUUUUUACAGAGUUAAAUAUUUAGAUUGAUGAAAGAUGUAUAAUAGUGACAGGGAUUAGAUACCCCAUUAAUGUACAUUGUAGCUUUGUCUUAGUUAAUAUAACUAAAAUAAUUUGGCAGUGAGCGACUCUUUUUAGGGGAAGGUGUGGUGUAAAGGAUGUUCCGCCUAAUAAUUUACUUUCGUUAUGUUGGUGUAUAUCUGGUUUAAUAUUAUCGUUGAGUAAGUGAGUUUGUGUAGUUUUAUUUAAGCCAAGUCUAUGUGCUGCUUAUGAAAGUAUUCAUGCGUUACAUUUAUAAGGUUUUGGUUGUAAUACUAAAAUAUUUAGGACUUAAAAGUAAUGUUCAAUAAGUUUGUGAGUGUGAAGUAAGUUUAGCUCAUG
rnacentral:rRNA from 1 species